rnacentral:rRNA from 1 species
CUUACGCCGGCGACCGGCGGACGGGUGCGUAACGCGUAUGUAACCUACCUUUGACAGGGGGAUAACAUCGAGAAAUUGGUACUAAUACCCCAUAACAUCACCGGAGGCAUCUUCGGUGGUUGAAAACUCAGGUGGUCAGAGAUGGACAUGCGUUGUAUUAGCUAGUUGGUGAGGUAACGGCUCACCAAGGCGACGAUACAUAGGGGGACUGAGAGGUCAACCCCCCACAUUGGUACUGAGACACGGACCAAACUCCUACGGAAGGCAGCAG